rnacentral:rRNA from 1 species
CGCGGAUCAGAAUGCCGCGGUGAAUACGUUCCCGGGCCUUGUACACACCGCCCGUCACACCAUGGGAGUUUGUUGCACCAGAAGUAGCUAGCCUAACUGCAAAGAGGGCGGUUACCACGGUGUGGCCGAUGACUGGGGUGAAGUCGUAACAAGGUAGCCGUAGGGGAACCUGCGGCUGGAUCACCUCCUUAACGAA